rnacentral:rRNA from 1 species
ACAAGCGGUGGAUGAUGUGGUUAAUUCGAUGCAACGCGAAAACCUUACCACCUUUGACAUGUACGGAAUCCUUUAGAGAUAGAGGAGUGCUCGAAAGAGAGCCGUAACACAGGUGCUGCAUGGCUGUCGUCAGCUCGUGUCGUGAGAUGUUGGGUUAAGUCCCGCAACGAGCGCAACCCUUGUCAUUAGUUGCUACAUUCAGUUGGGCACUCUAAUGAGACUGCCGGUGACAAACCGGAGGAAGGUGGGGAUGACGUCAAGUCCUCAUGGCCCUUAUAGGUGGGGCUACACACGUCAUACAAUGGAUGGUACAAAGGGUCGCCGACCCGCGAGGGGGAGCCAAUCCCAUAAAGCCAUUCGUAGUCCGGAUCGCAGUCUGCAACUCGACUGCGUGAAGUCGGAAUCGCUAGUAAUCGUGGAUCAGAAUGUCACGGUGAAUACGUUCCCGGGUCUU